GAUCAUUACAAGAAACGAGGCUACGUGCCCCGCUCUUUACCUUGCCUACUGCACUAUCUGUUGCUUCCUGGCGGCGGUUUGCCUGCCGCCAGGGACAUUGUAAAGCCCUGCAUAAGCAUUGAAAAAACUGAAACAAACCGAAUCGUACAACUUUCAACAAUGGAUCUCUUGGUUCUGGCAUCGAUGAAGAACGCAGCGAAAUGCGAUAAGUAGUGUGAAUUGCAGAAUUCAGUGAAUCAUCGAAUCUUUGAACGCACAUUGCGCCCCUUGGUAUUCCAUGGGGCAUGCCUGUUCGAGCGUCAUCUAAACCCUCAAGCCUCAUGGGUGUUGUCCCGCCUCGUGCGUGGCCUUCGCCUGGCUUGGUGUUGGGUGCCUGUCCCUGCUCCCCGCGCGGACUCACCCUAAAUAUAUUGGCAGCAGCCCCUCGGCUUCUCGCGCAGCACAUUGCGCAGCGGAGCGUGGAGAGGCGUGCGUCCAGCAAGCGACCCCACUAGUUUGACCUCGGAUCAGGUAGGGAUACCCGCUGAACUUAAGCAUAUCAAUAAGCGGAGGAAAAGAAACCAACAGGGAUUGCCCUAGUAACGGCGAGUGAAGCGGCAACAGCUCAAAUUUGAAAUCUGGCCUCCUUUGGUGGUCCGAGUUGUAAUUUGCAGAGGGUGCUUUGGCGUUGGCAGCGGUCUAAGUUCCUUGGAACAGGACGUCACAGAGGGUGAGAAUCCCGUACGUGGUCGCCCGCCUCCGCCGUGUAAAGCCCCUUCGACGAGUCGAGUUGUUUGGGAAUGCAGCUCUAAAUGGGAGGUAAAUUUCUUCUAAAGCUAAAUACUGGCCAGAGACCGAUAGCGCACAAGUAGAGUGAUCGAAAGAUGAAAAGCACUUUGGAAAGAGAGUCAAAAAGCACGUGAAAUUGUUGAAAGGGAAGCGCUUGCAGCCAGACUUGCCCGUAGUUGCUCACCCGGACUUUUGCCCGGGGCAUUCUUCUGCGGGCAGGCCAGCAUCAGUUUGGGCGACCGGAUAACGGCCUCUGUCAUGUAUCAUCCCUCGGGAUGACCUUAUAGGGGAGGCGUAAUGCGGCCAGCCUGGACUGAGGUCCGCGCAU
rnacentral:rRNA from 1 species